CCUACGGGUGACAGCAGUGAGGAAGAUUGGUCAAUGGGCGCGAGCCUGAACCAGCCAAGUAGCGUGAAGGAUGACUGCCCUACGGGGUGUAAACUUCUUUUAUAAAGGAAUAAAGUGAGGCACGUGUGCCUUUUUGUAUGGACGUUAUGAAUAAGGAUCGGCUAACUCCGUGCCAGCAGCCGCGGUAAUACGGAGGAUCCGAGCGUUAUCCGGAUUUAUUGGGUUUAAAGGGAGCGUAGAUGGGUUGUUAAGUCAGUUGUGAAAGUUUGCGGCUCAACCGUAAAAUUGCAAUUGAUACUGGCAGUCUUUCGUCCAGUUGCGGUAGGCGGACUUCGUUGUGUAGCGGU
rnacentral:rRNA from 1 species